GACAGAGGCCUCGAGCGUUAGGCGGAAUCACUGGGCUUAAAGCGUGUGUAGGCGGACGCCUAAGUACCUUGUGAAAUCCCACGGCUCACCCGUGGAACCGCUGGGUAUACUGGGCGUCUUGGGCCAUUCAGGGGCGACUGGAACAAGCGGUGGAGCGGUGAAAUGCGUAGAUAUCGCUUGGAACGCCGACGGUGAAAACAGGUCGCUGGGAAUGUGCCGACGCUGAGACACGAAAGCCAGGGGAGCAAACGGG
rnacentral:rRNA from 1 species